UACGUAGGGUGCAAGCGUUGUCCGGAAUUAUUGGGCGUAAAGAGCUCGUAGGCGGUUUGUCGCGUCUGCCGUGAAAGUCCGGGGCUCAACUCCGGAUCUGCGGUGGGUACGGGCAGACUAGAGUGCAGUAGGGGAGACUGGAAUUCCUGGUGUAGCGGUGAAAUGCGCAGAUAUCAGGAGGAACACCGGUGGCGAAGGCGGUUCUCUGGGCCUGUUCUGACGCUGAGGAGCGAAAGCGUGGGGAGCGAACAGG
rnacentral:rRNA from 1 species